rnacentral:rRNA from 1 species
UCGAGCGAAGCACUUAGGAAAGAUUCUUCGGAUGAUUUCCUAUUUGACUGAGCGGCGGACGGGUGAGUAACGCGUGGGUAACCUGCCUCAUACAGGGGGAUAACAGUUAGAAAUGACUGCUAAUACCGCAUAAGACCACAGCACUGCAUGGUGCAGGGGUAAAAACUCCGGUGGUAUGAGAUGGACCCGCGUCUGAUUAGUUAGUUGGUGGGGUAACGGCCUACCAAGGCGACGAUCAGUAGCCGACCUGAGAGGGUGACCGGCCACAUUGGGACUGAGACACGGCCCAAACUCNUACGGGAGGCAGCAGUGGGGAAUAUUGCACAAUGGGGGAAACCCUGAUGCAGCGACGCCGCGUGAGCGAAGAAGUAUUUCGGUAUGUAAAGCUCUAUCAGCAGGGAAGAAAAUGACGGUACCUGACUAAGAAGCCCCGGCUAACUACGUGCCAGCAGCCGCGGUAAUACGUAGGGGGCAAGCGUUAUCCGGAUUUACUGGGUGUAAAGGGAGCGUGGACGGAGCAGCAAGUCUGAUGUGAAACCCGGGGCUCAACUCCGGGACUGCAUUGGAAACUGUUGAUCUGGAGUGCCGGAGAGGUAAGCGGAAUUCCUAGUGUAGCGGUGAAAUGCGUAGAUAUUAGGAGGAACACCAGUGGCGAAGGCGGCUUACUGGACGGUAACUGACGUUGAGGCUCGAAAGCGUGGGGAGCAAACAGGAUUAGA